rnacentral:tRNA from 1 species
GCCCUGCUGGCUCAGUUGGAAGAGCAUGAGACUCCUGAUCUUGGGGUUGUGAGUUCGAGCCCCACGUUGGGUG